rnacentral:rRNA from 1 species
UACGAAGGGGGCUAGCGUUGCUCGGAAUCACUGGGCGUAAAGCGCACGUAGGCGGCUUACUAAGUCAGGGGUGGAAUCCUGGAGCUCAACUCCAGAACUGCCUUUGAUACUGGUAAGCUCGAGUCCGGGAGAGGUGAGUGGAACUGCGAGUGUAGAGGUGAAAUUCGUAGAUAUUCGCAAGAACACCAGUGGCGAAGGCGGCUCACUGGCCCGGUACUGACGCUGAGGUGCGAAAGCGUGGGGAGCAAACAGG